rnacentral:rRNA from 1 species
AUGAACGCUGGCGGCGUGCCUAACACCUGCAAGUCGAACGAAGCACCUUACCUGAUUCUUCGGAUGAAAGUUUGGUGACUGAGUGGCGGACGGGUGAGUAACGCGUGGGUAACCUGCCCUGUACAGGGGGAUAACAGCUGGAAACGGCUGCUAAUACCGCAUAAGCGCACGAGGAGACAUCUCCUUGUGUGAAAAACUCCGGUGGGACAGGAUGGGCCCGCGUCUGUUUAGUUGGUAGGCAGGGUAACGGGCUACCAAGGCAACGAUCAGUAGCCGGUCUUAGAGGGUGGACCACCACAUUCGGACUGGGCCACCGUCCAGACUCCUACGUGAGGCAGGAGGGGGGAAUAUUGCACGAUGGGGGAUACCCUGAUGGAGCAACGCCGCGUGAGUUAAGAAGUAUUUCGGUAUGUCAAGCUGUAUCAGCAGGGAAGAUAAUGACGGUACCUGACUAUGAAGCCCCGGCUAAAUUCGUG